rnacentral:lncRNA from 1 species
UUUUUACAUCGUUUACAUGAAAGUAACGCGGCUCGUGUUAGAAUUUUAAAAAUUCGACUUUGGGUAAUUGAGGCAUUCUUUUGUUCAAUCAUCGAUCAAUGGAUAAUGUUUGUUACAUAUACGAUAUAAAAGUCACUUUUGUUCGAGUAUACCUUUACAUUAUGUCUCUAUUCAAGGAUGCAUACAAGGACACGAAUUCAUAA